UCAUAGCAGCAGUUACUGUGGAAGAAAGGAGAGAAGAGGAAAACACUGGCCACUAUCAACUGACAUUGGGACUCGCCGUAAACGAGCGCUUUUUGGGGUACACUGCCCCCUCUUGAGCAAUGGUAUCAAUAGAUCGAUCAAAGGGAACGUGAGACGCGCGCGUGUUUUGACAACAUCAGCACCACCUCGAAUGGAUGGAGUUGUCAUCUGAUCCUAGCGACAGAAAUCGCCCAACUUCAAGCGCCACAUAGCCUGUGCGGAGACAGAUGCGGUGACCCCAGCUUGACAAUAUUCUGCCAGCCAGACAAAAGUUUUCCUGGUUAUGAUCUUUCUGCCUGCCCCGACCCUGAGCCUGCCUGCCGCUCUUGCACAUUGGCAGCCGAGAGUGCCUGGAACCCGGAAUCCCUGAUUGACACGUUCCUGCACGGAUUAUCGGAGGAAGUUAAGGACGAGCUCACAGCCCGGGAACUGCCGACGGAUCUCGACUCGCUCCAGAUCGAUGGGCGGCUACAGGAACGUAGGAAGGAGAGUAGGUCCGAUUACGGUUCCACGCACCCACCCAAGGAUACCACCUCGCCUCCAAGGCAUCCCGGAAGUCCCCGAUGUCUACGUUUCCAAGAGAAUCCGAGGCUACCCGAGUUCCCCUGAGAGUCUCCGAAGUCUGCCGAUUCACCUCUUCCCGAGCCGAUGCAACUAGGCAGAGCUAGGUUGUCUCCAGCCGAACGUUUAUGCAGGCUUAACACAAAGAGUUGUCUAUAUUGCGGGACUACUGGUAAUUUCGUGUCUACCUGUCCACUAAAAGACCAGGCUCACCGGUAGGGGCGAGGACUCUGGUGGGCCAUAUGGAGAACUUUCCUUCUCCCCUUACUCACACUCCUCUCCAUGCCAUCCUGCUGUGGCGGAACCAGUCGAAAUAUCUCUGGGUACUCAUCGACUCUGGGGCCCUGGAUUACUGACCUCUGCCUGCCCCGACCCUGAGUCUACUUGCCGCUCUUUACCUUACGGACUCUGCCCUGGACUACCGACCUCUGCCUGCCCUUGACCUGUUCUUUGCCUGCCCCCUGUUUAUAUAAUAAACGUCCGAUAUUUGAACUGUCUGCAUCUGGGUCUUUUCCUGAGCCGUGAUACUGA